rnacentral:rRNA from 1 species
UACAGAGGGUGCAAGCGUUGCUCGGAAUUACUGGGCGUAAAGCGUGUGUAGGCGGUCCGAUAAGUGGGGUGUGAAAGCCCUAGGCUCAACCUAGGAACUGCGCCCCAUACUGUCAGACUUGAGUGUCGGAGAGGAUAGUGGAAUUCCCAGUGUAGAGGUGAAAUUCGUAGAUAUUGGGAGGAACACCAGUGGCGAAGGCGGCUAUCUGGACGAACACUGACGCUGAGACACGAAAGCGUGGGGAGCAAACAGG